rnacentral:rRNA from 1 species
AUACGGAGGGGGUUAGCGUUGUGCGGAAUUACUGGGCGUAAAGCGCACGUAGGCGGAUUGGAAAGUUGGGGGUGAAAUCCCAGGGCUCAACCCUGGAACUGCCUCCAAAACUAACAGUCUAGAGUUCGAGAGAGGUGAGUGGAAUUCCAAGUGUAGAGGUGAAAUUCGUAGAUAUUUGGAGGAACACCAGUGGCGAAGGCGGCUCACUGGCUCGAUACUGACGCUGAGGUGCGAAAGCGUGGGGAGCAAACAGGAUUAGAAACCCUAGUAGUCC